GGAGAACUCUGGCUUGAAAUCAGCCAAGUGACAGAGGGAAUAAAGAGCCUUUUGCCAAACCCGAGAUUAAAGCUGUUUUCCUGGUGUGCUGUACCUGAGAACAUCCUGAAACUUUUCGUGUUGUAACGAUGCCAGUCCUGCAGUCUCCUGUCUACUUACAACAGUUCAAGACGCUUGGCCCUUGGCCUCUUCCUCCUUCCCAGCAUGACCAGUGGGUGGCCUGUGCUGUCUGGAUGCUAACCUCAGGCGAUACUUCAUCGGAUCUAAUAAGCACUCAGCUCAGAUGGUCGCCUGUGCAAAUGCCACACGGAACGGCUCCCAUGGGACCUGGAAGAGUAUUCAUUUUCCAAAGAGAACUCAACGCCCACAUUGACAGCAAAGAAAAU